rnacentral:rRNA from 1 species
GGAUAACGUUUGGAAACGAACGCUAAUACCGCAUGAUAUUAUUGAGCUGCAUGGCUUGAUAAUCAAAGGAGCAAUCCGCUGAAAGAUGGGCUCGCGUCCGAUUAGGUAGUUGGCGGGGCAACGGCCCACCAAGCCGACGAUCGGUAGCCGGACUGAGAGGUUGAACGGCCACAUUGGGACUGAGACACGGCCCAGACUCCUACGGGAGGCAGCAGUGAGGGAUAUUGGUCAAUGGGGGAAACCCUGAACCAGCAACGCCGCGUGAGGGAAGACGGUUUUCGGAUUGUAAACCUCUGUCCUCUGUGAAGAUAAUGACGGUAGCAGAGGAGGAAGCUCCGGCUAACUACGUGCCAGCAGCCGCGGUAAUACGUAGGGAGCAAGCGUUGUCCGGAUUUACUGGGUGUAAAGGGUGCGUAGGCGGCUUUGCAAGUCAGAAGUGAAAUCCAUGGGCUUAACCCAUGAACUGCUUUUGAAACUGCAGAGCUUGAGUGGAGUAGAGGUAGGCGGAAUUCCCGGUGUAGCGGUGAAAUGCGUAGAGAUCGGGAGGAACACCAGUGGCGAGGGCGGCCUGCUGGGCUCUAACUGACGCUGAGGCACGAAAGCGUGGGUAGCAAACAGGAUUAGAUACCCUGGUAGUCCACGCUGUAAACGAUGAUUACUAGGUGUGGGUGGACUGACCCCAUCCGUGCCGGA